CGAGGCGUAGCGCAGCUGGCUAGCGCGCAUGGUUCGGGACCAUGAGGUCGCAGGUUCGAAUCCUGUCGCCUCGACCA
rnacentral:tRNA from 1 species